AGUCGCCGUCAGGCACUGAGGAGGCCGAGAGAUGAGGCCGGAGCCCACCAAGUUCUGGGAAAAUACUUUGCAAGUAUCAAGAUGUGGAUGGCGGCCGGGUGCAGUGGCUCAUGCCUGUAGUCCCAGCACUUUGGGAGGCUGAGAUGGGUGGAUCAGUUGAGCUCAGGAGUUCAAGACCAGCCUGGCCAACAUGGUGAAACCCCGUUUCUACUAAAAGUACAAAAAUUAGCAGCGCAUGUGGCGUUCACCUGUAAUCCCAGCUUCUCAGGCGGCUGAAGCAGGAGAAUCGCUUGAACCCAGGAGAUGGAGGUUGCAGUGAACAGAGAUCACGCCACUGGAGUCUUACUCACUCCAGCCUGGGCAACAGACCCACAGGUGCUGAGAACAAGAGAAAUCAAGUGAAGGAAGGAGGCGGAGUUUCCAAGACUUGGGUGUCAUCAUUUCUGGGGACAUCCUUGAUUGGAGAUUGAAGUUUUUGAACCGAAAUUUAGAGCUGAUUCAGAAGAGACAAAUACAGAACGUCCAAGUUAGCAGUCAUUUCCCAAAUUUAGGAGACAAUGAUGCAGGCCCAGGAAUCCCUA
rnacentral:lncRNA from 10 species